CUACAGGCAGGGGGGCGUGGGGACCACAAACGUCAUCUUCAUCCCCUUUUUUCUUUAUUUAUUUUCCUUUUCUCCAGAAUCUCCCGGAAUUAAACCCAGCGUACAUUCCAUGCGCAGAUUUUUGCCACGUGACGUCGUGCGACGACAGCGCCCGCACGCGACCGUGUUAACAUCGCGGCGUAUGUCGGCGCUGCUGCUCGGCACAUGUGCGCGAUGACAUCAUCUUCGAGUGACAUCAUGAUGCGACGCAGGCGUUGAAAGUGAAAACAUUAGUGUAGUGGCGAACGGCGAGAAGGGAGGGCCGUCCCAGUGAUGUGGCGGCUUUGCGGCGGCGGCCGCGGGAAGACGUCCCAUGGGAAAGCAAGUCGUCGGCGGUGGGAAAAAGCACGCGCCACCCACGGCCCGAGAACGCUGUGAAUUGGAAUGAGUUUAUCACUAGUACACAUUUGUUCAUUCGCUGCUAUCCCUCUCACCUCACAUGACCAGGACAUGUCCCCAAAAUGUCUCCAAAUCAACAGGACGUGACCCCAUUUGACCGGGACAUGUCCCCAAAUCAACAGGAAGUGACCUGAUAUGACCAGGACAUGUCCCCAAAAUGUCUCCAAAUCAACAGGACGUGACCCCAUAUGACCGGGACAUGUCCCCAAAUCAACAGGAAGUGACCUGAUAUGACCGGGACAUGUUCCCAAAUCAACAGGAAGUGACCCGAUGUGACCGGGACAUGUCCCCAAAAUGUCCCCUAAUCAACAGAAAGUGACCCCAUAUGACCGGGACAUGUCCGCAAAUCAACAGGAAAUGACCUGAUAUGACCAGGACAUGUCCCCGAAAUGUCCCCAAAUCAACAUGAAGUAACCUGAUAUAACUGGGACAUGUCCCCAAAUCAACAGAAAGUGACCUGGUAUGACCAGGACAAGUCCCCGAAAUGUCCCCGAAUCAACAGGAAGUGACUCGAUAUGACCGGGACAUGUCCCCAAAUCAACAGGAAGUGACCUGAUAUGACUGCGACAUGUCCCCAAAUCAACAGAAAAUGACCCGAUAUGACCGGGACAUGUCCCCAAAUGUCCCCAAAUCAACAGGAAGUGACCCAAUAUGACCGGGACAUGUCGCCAAAUCAGCAGAAAGUGACCCCACAUGACCGGGACAUGUCCCCAAAUCAACAGGAAAUGACCUGAUAUGACCAGGACAUGUCCCCGAAAUGUCCCCAAAUCAACAUGAAGUAACCUGAUAUAACUGGGACAUGUCCCCAAAUCAACAGAAAGUGACCUGGUAUGACCAGGACAAGUCCCCGAAAUGUCCCCGAAUCAACAGGAAGUGACUCGAUAUGACCGGGACAUGUCCCCAAAUCAACAGGACGUGACCUGUUAUGACUGGGACAUGUCCCCAAAUCAACAGAAAAUGACCCGAUAUGACCGGGACAUGUCCCCAAAUGUCCCCAAAUCAACAGGAAGUGACCCAAUAUGACCGGGACAUGUCCUCAGAUCAACAGGAAGUGACCUGAUAUGACCAGGACAUGUCCCCGAUAUGUCCCUAAAUCAACAGGAAGUGACCCAAUAUGACCGGGAUAUGCCCCCAAAUGUCCCCAAAUCAACAGGAAGUCACCCGAUAUGACCGGGACAGGUCCCCAUAAUGUCCCCAAAUCAGCAGAAAGUGACCCCACAUGACCGGGACAUGUCCCCAAAUCAACAGGAAAUGACCUGAUAUGACCAGGACAUGUCCCCGAAAUGUCCCCAAAUCAACAUGAAGAAACCUGAUAUAACUGGGACAUGUCCCCAAAUCAACAGAAAGUGACCUGAUAUGACCAGGACAAGUCCCCAAAAUGUCCCCGAAUCAACAGGAAGUGACUCGAUAUGACCGGGUCAUGUCCCCAAAUCAACAGGAAGUGACCUGAUAUGACCGGGACAUGUCCCAAAAUCAACAGAAAGUGACCUGAUAUGACCAGGACAUGUCCUCAGAUCAACAGGAAGUGACCUGAUAUGACCAGGACAUGUCCCCGAAAUGUCCCCAAAUCAACAGAAAGUGACCUGAUAUGACCGGGACAUGUCCCCAAAUCAACAGCAAGUGACCCGAUAUGACCGGGACAUGUCCCCAAAUCAACAGAAAGUGACCUGAUAUGACCAGGACAUGUCCCCGAUAUGUCCCUAAAUCAACAGGAAGUGACCCGAUAUGACCGGGACAUGUCCCUAAAAUGUCCCCAAAUCAACAGGAAGUGACCUGAUAUGACCGGGACAUGUCGCUAAAAUGUCCCCAAAUCAACAGGAAGUGACCUGAUAUGACCGGGACAUGUCCCCCAAAGGUCCCCAAAACAACAGGAAGUGACCUGAUAUAACCAGGACAUGUCCCCGAAAUAUCCCCAAAUCAACAGAAUGUGACCUGAUAUGACCAGGACAUGUCCAUGAAAUGUCCCCAAAUCAAUAGGAAGUGACCCGAUAUGACCGGUAUAUGUCCCCAAAUCAGCAGGAAGUGACCCCAUAUGACCCACAAAACAACAGGAAGUGACCUAAUAUAACCAGGACAUGUCCCUGAAAUGUCCCAAAAUAAACAGGAAGAGACCCUUUUAUGACCAGGAAUCAACAGGAAGCUUCAGUGGCGUUAAUGGCAGCCGGUAAGCUAGCUAAACUCUAUUCUAAUGAAAGAUUUUAGUAGCAACGUGUUGGUUCCUUGUUUUUUUUCCAAACAGUGACACUUUUUUAAAACGAUAUAUGGAUUAUUGGCGGGAGGAUAUCAAGAACCUUUUGAGCUACAAACUACAUCCCCUUUUCGAUAUAUUGUUAUUCCCAGACUGUACAGUACUUUAAAAGUUAACUACAAGUGAAGUGCACUUAACAAGUGUAGUGUCCUGGAUUAAAACGGCAACAUUGACGGGAGUUGUGACAUUUAAUCCGGCGCUCGCUCACUUGGAGAAUCGGCUUUGGAAGCGAAGCCCGGACAAUAAGAGCGGCAACACUGGCGGAAUUUCUUUCAGAGACCAGUUUUCAAAUGCAAAUGGCCCUUUAGUUACGCUACGCCACGCGGACCUUCCCAUUUCCAGACUUUUUUUGUUGUUGUUGUUGUUCAUCGUUCAUUGUGGCUUCACCCCCACUGCAGUGAUUGAAACUUUAACCCCUGACGUUCCACUGGCAAUCUAUCCUCACUACAUGCUAACACGCUAACAUACUGACUCAUUAUUACUCAUCUUUUUUUGAUAGUGGUCCUGAUUUUCAGGUUCAAAUUUUUUUUUUGACACAUUAGGCUACAUUUGUCAUAUUCUUGUUGAGAUUUAUUUUUUGCGUCUAUUUUUGACAGCUUUUGUAAUUUUUAAAAUAACUUUUGUGCUUAAUUUUUGCAAAAUUAAUGUUGGUUUUUAUUUAAUUUUUUUACCUAAAAGGAAAUCUUUUCAGGAACUUUGGCAGCUUAUAGAGCAACAAAAUUUGGCACACUUGGUUGAAUUGGCCCAAAUUAAAGAUUCAUUUUAGUUUUGAAUAAGGGCGUGGCUGCACAGCUCAGUAGUGCCUCUUUUUUUGUAGGACCAUCUUCAACUUCAAUAGGGUUUUUUUCACCUAGUUGUGUGAAUGUAUUUCUAAUCCCCAAAAAAUAUUAUUAUUAAAUCAUUAUUUUUUUCAUAGCAAAUAAAAAUGGCCAAUUUGGAGGCCUAAACAUGCUCAAAACUUGCAGAUACAUGCGGCUUGGCGUAAAUUUUGAUAAUUUUGCGACCUUGCGAAAAACGUACAAAAAUGACUCUGUGACACAACCUUGAAUCUUUCAAAAAAGCCCCUCCUACUAGUUUUUUUCAACAUAGAGCGAUGAAAUUUGGGGAGUCAAUACCUUUUGCAAAACUGCUCCAAAAAGUCUCUGCACCUAUUUUCCAAACCCGACAGGGAAUGAGAUAUUUUGGAUUGAAUGCGAAAAAAAUGUGCAGUUUUAGUCAAUUUACAGGGUGCACGUUUAAGACCUUGGCGUCAAGGCAGUUAGUUGGAUCCUCUUCAAAAUUGCUGAGACUUUUCAUGAAACAUACUGGAUGAGAUCUAAAGUUAUCAAGAUGGUAAGUUUUCAUUCACGGGCCUGACCUGCGCAGGGUGCCAAAGUCGGCCUUUUUUGGCAACACGUCAAAUUCAGUCAUGACAUAAUAACUCCCUGAUUCGAGGUUUAGUCUUUUUCAGGCAGUGGUAUGAAAAAGUAUCUGAACCAUUUGGAAUUUCUCACAUUUUUGCAUAAAAUCACCAUCAAAAGUGAUCUGAUCUUUGUCAAAAUCACACAGAUAAAAAAAAAAAACAGUGUCGGCUUAAAGCAGUAAUGUGAAGUAAGGUUGGCCAACCAUGUUUUUGAAUAAUAUCAAUGGCUAAACAGUUAUAAGCAUUUUUAUUUAUUUUUUUUUUUUUAACGCAACCCUUCCAGAUUCUUUGUUUAACCCAUAGCAACGCCCUUGACAACGAACAUGCUUUUCUUCGGCAGUCUUCGUAAAUCUUCGGAAAUUACAUCACACCGGGAAGUGCGAGGGAAGAAAUAUUAGAAAUAUUUUAUCUAAAAGUGAUGCAAAAAAAUUAAUUCACGCGUUCGUUACAUCGAGAUUGGAUUACUGUAACUCCCUACUUGCAGCUUGUCCUAAAAGUUCCCUAAAAGGUCUUCAGCUUGUCCAAAACCCAGCAGCAAGACUUUUAACAGGAACCAAUAGAAGAGGGUACAUCACCCCUGUGCUCGAGGCCCUUCACUGGCUUCCUGUCGAGUUUACAAUUAAAUUUAAAAUCCUCCUUCUUACAUUUAAGACCAUUAAUGGGUUGGUGCCAUCUUAUCUCUCCGAUGCUCUGGUUCCACACCGCCCCAAAAGAACACUCCGCUCUCAGAAUGCAGGUCUACUGGUAGUUCCCAGGGUUUCUAAAAGUACUGUCGGAGCUACAGCCUUUAGCCACCAAGCUCCUAUUUUAUGGAAUCAGCUUCCAGCUAAUAUAAAAGAAGCCGAGACAGUCUGCACAUUUAAGAUUAGAUUGAAAACGUUCCUAUUCAACAAAGCUUAUGGUCAGGCUAGUUGAAGUCGGAGUAGACUCAAAGUUUAGUCUAAGCUGCACUAGAAGCUAUAAAGCUGGGGGAAGUACAGCCACUGAGUUCUAACUCCUUUUUCCCACUCUACCUACCACUUAUCUUACUUUAUUUCUAUUUUCCAAUGUGAAUAUCUAGUUGUCUAGUCUCUUCAUCACUAGUCACCCUUUCCCCCCUCCCCACUGGGGAGGGGCUAUUUUUCAGCUGCAGCCUCCUGACUUUCCUGACCCCACGCUGGAUGGACGUCCUCGUCGCUACCCCCGUCUCAUCUGGCUAGAUGGACCGCUUCUUGUUCUUUUACUCCACUGCAUCUUUACAGACUGUAACUUAACCUGCUAAUUCCUAUUAGCGGUCCUGGGGCUUCCUGUCUAUCCGUCCUGGGAGUGGGUCUCUCCAGACUGUGGUACUCCCCAAGGUUUCUCAUUUUUCUCCCGAAGACUCUGGAGUUUUUGGAGUUUUUCCUUGCCGACAUGGAGGGUCUAAGGAUGGGGGAAACCCAGGACUUGAAUUUAUUUAUUCAUCUUUGUUGCUUCAUUUGCUGUUUCUUAUUGUGUAUCAUAUUGCCUCUGCAAAGCCCUUUGAGACAAUGUUGUUGUGAUCUAGGGCUAUACAAAUGAAAUUGAAAUUGUUUGUUGCAUUGCUUCUCGGUAAGAUCCCACGGCGGUGUGUGGCGAUGUUUUGAUCUCACUCAAAUGAAAAGUUGUAUGAGUGGCCAAAGGAUAGCAGGGCACGUAAAUGGAUAUCUUUCGUUCGCACAAAGCGAAUGAAUUUCACGCCAUCAUCGAGUAGUGUUCUCUGCUGCAAACACUUCGAAGAUGCCUGCUUCCUUAACCGGUCUGCUUAUGAUGAAGUAUUUGCCAAAAAGUAAGUGUGAUUUUUGGAUAGAUGACUGAUGACUUUGUCAAAGCAGAGCUGCCAACUGUUGUGGAAUGAACCGUAGAAGCUAGCGACAUUAGCCAAGAGCUAACUCUUGGCAAUCCCUAAUCAUAGUUGUUGUUGCGUUCGCUAGGUUAAACGUGUUUAAAUUGUGCGUCAUCUACGAUCUUGUCCGAAAGGGUUAAUCCACUGUCAAUCGGGAAAGGGGUGUGGAUGUACACAUAAGCGGGUCGGCGUCGCGGAAAUUCACGGUCACGUUGCCGUAAGAGACACACACCGCCGGUGAGUUUGUGCACAUCUAUUUGUAUUUGUAUUAUGUAUUUCCACCUUCAUGCUUCAAGCAUUGCAUUGCAUUUGUACGGUUCGGGGUUUCUUUCACGGUGAUCGCUUGAUAGCCUUCUAGUUUGUGUUUUACUGUACGAGAGCUCCUGACAGGUGACCCUAACAAAUGUGUUGCUUUUAAUGUCUGGCAGCGAAUCAGCGAGCGCGCAGGUCGCGCAGUGAAUCAUAGGAAAUGUAGUCUUGCGAGAACACUGAAGUGGUGCUUUGUAAUCUGUUCGCUUGUGUGAAAAAACUACAUUUCCUCACGCCAUUCGACGCCACUUCCUGCCGAGAGCCCCGAGCUGUGUUCGUACUGUUAGCUCCAUGUGUUAAUAAAGAAACAAAGUUGUCAGCACGUCGUGUGUUCGAUACAUUUGUAAACAAAAAUUUCAUAACAAGACACUAUGAACGAUCCGUUUAAGAGACGCUGGAGUAGUAGGAGGCGAGGAGGAGAUAAGCGAGAAGCAAAACUUCCCGGUCGAAUGUGGCGGCAGUCCGCUAUUAUUUUGUUUUCUUAUUGUUGCCACAAUAAAGUGGAGAAAGCCAUCAACGACUCAUCUCCUUCUUUCCCCCCAACGUUUUUAUAUUAUUAUUUUAUAUGCAUGAGAGCUGCCGGAUCUGCCAAAAUGAACAUGAAGUCUGAUUAUUAUUUUUUUAAACAAUGUCAUCAGAUAGACAAAAACAUAAAAUGAUGCGCAAAUUUCUGCAUCUUCAAAUCAUGAAAAUAAUAACCGCCUAUAUCUUACCAAUCUUGUAAUCUCGAUGGGUCUUGUAUCCAUUCCAUGUCAGGUAGUCUAGGCACGUUGUUUGCAUCCUGAUUAGAGUCUGGCUAAUACAUGUUAAGUCCAACAUAAAAUUCCAACCUCCUCUUUUUUCUCCAACUCUUCAAAAACUUGGAUCUCCUCACUUGCGCUCGAUCUAUCGCUUAUAUCGGUGUUUGAAUCAUUGUUUGAAGGGCUUUGUAUAGCGGCCGUAUGUAUGGAGCUGCCAUCGCUGUUCUCGGUGUGA